rnacentral:rRNA from 1 species
UACGAAGGGUGCAAGCGUUACUCGGAAUUACUGGGCGUAAAGCGUGCGUAGGUGGUGAGUUAAGUCUGUCGUGAAAGCCCCGGGCUCAACCUGGGAAUGGCGAUGGAUACUGGCGGGCUAGAGGUCGAUAGGGGUGAGCGGAACUCCAGGUGGAGCGGUGAAAUGCGUAGAUAUCUGGAGGAACACCGGUGGCGAAAGCGGCUCACUGGAUCGAAACUGACGCUGAGGUGCGAAAGCUAGGGUAGCAAACGGG